GGGGAGUGCGGUGCAGAUCCAGACCGCCAGAAAAAGCACUCGCGCAAAUCCCGACCGCUAGAAAACGCACUCAGAGAUUCGAGCGUUUGCUUCGUAGAAACGUGUGAAAACCACCCCUUCUUCCGUUCGGCAGAAGCAAUCUUCCAUCCAUUCCGGUGGACCAAAGCCGCCAAGAGCAUUCGUCGAUCUGAACAGGUUUCAGCGGACAGAAGAACUCCAUUCCGAAGAUUUGACGAAGACGGUUCCCGUGACACAGCAAACGACGACGACCUGUCGCAUUGGAGGCCAUCGUUUCAGUCUAAAGGCAUCUUGGCAGCGCAAAAAUCACCCCACUGAUUGGGGUUUUUGUGCCGGAUUUUGUUUUUGUGCCUGAUCAAAUUCGUCAGCCGUCGGUGUGCGAUCGAUGCUGUUUGGCUGAAGGAAAGGUGCGUGCUAGCCUCGAC